rnacentral:rRNA from 1 species
GUGUCUGUAGAAGGCCUUCGGGUUGUAAAGGACUUUUGUCAGGGAGGAAAUCCUUAGUGUUAAUACCGCUGAGGGAUGACAGUACCUGAAGAAUAAGCACCGGCUAACUACGUGCCAGCAGCCGCGGUAAUA